GUACAAGAGAAAGAGAAAGAGUGAGAGGUGGAGCAAGAGACUAGGAUAUUCUCAGAACAGCAUAACCUCAUACAGAUUCUGCACUAGAAAUCCUUUCUUACUGCCAAGGUGUGCUGACGUUACCAAACUGUGAUGGUCAGAAUUUGCUGUGAUCGCUCCUUGGCAUGGGGCACGCCUGAGGGUGAAGAAUGCUACCCAGGGAAAUGACACCAUGGGAAGGAGGAGGACGGGAUGACAAAGGAGAAGUCCCAAGCCUGGAAGAGGGAACAAAUAGGCCUUCACCUGUCAGGCCUUGAGGGGUUACUGGGAAGGAGGAGGCUAGAGGUGAGAGGAGGAGAAGCGUGUCUUCUGUCUCAGGCAUUCUGUGCAGAAGUCCUGGAGGGAAGAAGCGUGCUAGAUAGGUCUAGAGAAGCCCAAGGCAAAGGGAUGUUUUCUCCACUUCUUAAGUGAAGCUCGAGAAGCAGACCACCUCACAGGUCGCCUUCACAACAGCCUGGAGCUGCUGCAGGG
rnacentral:lncRNA from 1 species